rnacentral:tRNA from 1 species
GGCGACGUAGCUCAGUUGGUAAGAGUGCUCGACUCAUAAUCGAGAGGCCGUGGGUUCGAGUCCCACCGUCGCUA